AGUGAACGCUGGCGGUAGGCCUAACACAUGCAAGUCGAACGGCAGCACAGUAAGAGCUUGCUCUUACGGGUGGCGAGUGGCGGACGGGUGAGGAAUACAUCGGAAUCUACUUUUUCGUGGGGGAUAACGUAGGGAAACUUACGCUAAUACCGCAUACGACCUACGGGUGAAAGCAGUGGAUCUUCGGACCUUGCGCGAUUGAAUGAGCGGAUGUCGGGUUAGCUAGUUGGCGGGGUAAAGGCCCACCAAGGCGACGAUCCGUAGCUGGUCUGAGAGGAUGAUCAGCCACACUGGAACUGAGACACGGUCCAGACUCCUGCGGGAGGCAGCAGUGGGGAAUAUUGGACAAUGGGCGCAAGCCUGAUCCAGCCAUACCGCGUGGGUGAAGAAGGCCUUCGGGUUGUAAAGCCCUUUUGUUGGGAAAGAAAAGCAGCAGGUUAAUACCCCGCUGUUCUGACGGUACCCAAAGAAUAAGCACCGGCUAACUUCGUG
rnacentral:rRNA from 1 species